rnacentral:rRNA from 1 species
AUUGAACGCUGGCGGCAUGCCUUACACAUGCAAGUCGAACGGUAACGCGGGGCAACCUGGCGACGAGUGGCGAACGGGUGAGUAAUGUAUCGGAACGUGCCCAAUAGUGGGGGAUAGCCCGGCGAAAGCCGGAUUAAUACCGCAUACGACCUAAGGGUGAAAGCGGGGGAUCGCAAGACCUCGCGCUAUUGGAGCGGCCGAUAUCAGAUUAGCUAGUUGGUGGGGUAAAAGCCUACCAAGGCGACGAUCUGUAGCUGGUCUGAGAGGACGACCAGCCACACUGGGACUGAGACACGGCCCAGACUCCUACGGGAGGCAGCAGUGGGGAAUUUUGGACAAUGGGCGAAAGCCUGAUCCAGCCAUGCCGCGUGCGGGAAGAAGGCCUUCGGGUUGUAAACCGCUUUUGUCAGGGAAGAAAAGGCUCGAACUAAUACUUUGGGCUCAUGACGGUACCUGAAGAAUAAGCACCGGCUAACUACGUGCCAGCCGCCGCCGUAAAAC